GUUGUAUGGUUAAGUGACUAAGCGUACACGGUGGAUGCCUGGGCAGUCAGAGGCGAUGAAGGACGUACUAACUUGCGAUAAGCGCAGAUAAGGCAGUAAGAGCCGUUUGAGUCUGCGAUUUCCGAAUGGGGAAACCCAACUGCAUAAGCAGUUACUGUUAACUGAAUACAUAGGUUAACAGAGCAAACCGGGGGAACUGAAACAUCUAAGUACCCCGAGGAGAAGAAAUCAACCGAGAUUCCGGUAGUAGCGGCGAGCGAACCUGGAUUAGCCCUUAAGCACUCGGUGAAGUAGGUGAACAAGCUGGAAAGCUUGGCGAUACAGGGUGAUAGCCCCGUAACCGACGCUUCAUCGAGCGUGAAAUCGAGUAGGGCGGGACACGUGAUAUCCUGUCUGAAUAUGGGGGGACCAUCCUCCAAGGCUAAAUACUCCUGACUGACCGAUAGUGAACCAGUACCGUGAGGGAAAGGCGAAAAGAACCCCUGUGAGGGGAGUGAAAUAGAACCUGAAACCGUGUACGUACAAGCAGUAGGAGCACCUUCGUGGUGUGACUGCGUACCUUUUGUAUAAUGGGUCAGCGACUUAUAUUCAGUGGCAAGGUUAACCGUAUAGGGGAGCCGUAGCGAAAGCGAGUCUUAACUGGGCGCUCAGUCUCUGGAUAUAGACCCGAAACCGGGUGAUCUAGCCAUGGGCAGGUUGAAGGUUGAGUAACAUCAACUGGAGGACCGAACCGACUAAUGUUGAAAAAUUAGCGGAUGACUUGUGGCUAGGGGUGAAAGGCCAAUCAAACUCGGAGAUAGCUGGUUCUCCCCGAAAGCUAUUUAGGUAGCGCCUCGGACGAAUACUACUGGGGGUAGAGCACUGUUAAGGCUAGGGGGUCAUCCCGACUUACCAACCCUUUGCAAACUCCGAAUACCAGUAAGUACUAUCCGGGAGACACACGGCGGGUGCUAACGUCCGUCGUGGAGAGGGAAACAACCCAGACCGCCAGCUAAGGUCCCAAAGUAUUGCUAAGUGGGAAACGAUGUGGGAAGGCUCAGACAGCUAGGAUGUUGGCUUAGAAGCAGCCAUCAUUUAAAGAAAGCGUAAUAGCUCACUAGUCGAGUCGGCCUGCGCGGAAGAUGUAACGGGGCUAAGCAAUACACCGAAGCUGCGGCAAUGUCUUUUAGACAUUGGGUAGGGGAGCGUUCUGUAAGCCGUUGAAGGUGAAUCGUAAGGUUUGCUGGAGGUAUCAGAAGUGCGAAUGCUGACAUGAGUAACGACAAAGGGGGUGAAAAACCUCCUCGCCGGAAGACCAAGGGUUCCUGUCCAACGUUAAUCGGGGCAGGGUGAGUCGACCCCUAAGGUGAGGCCGAAAGGCGUAAUCGAUGGGAAACGGGUUAAUAUUCCCGUACUUCUGACUAUUGCGAUGGGGGGACGGAGAAGGCUAGGUGGGCCAGGCGACGGUUGUCCUGGUUCAAGUGCGUAGGCUUGAGAGUUAGGUAAAUCCGGCUCUCUUUAAG
rnacentral:rRNA from 1 species